rnacentral:rRNA from 1 species
CCCUUAGACGUUCUGGGCCGCACGCGCGCUACACUGACCAGUGCAACAAGCAUCCGUCCUUGGCCGACAGGCCCGGGCAAUCUUUGAACGCUGGUCGUGAUGGGGAUAGACUUUUGCAAAUUUUGGUCUUCAACGAGGAAUUCCUAGUAAACGCAAGUCAUCAACUUGCAUUGAUUACGUCCCUGCCCUUUGUACACACCGCCCGUCGCACCUACCGAUUGAAUGGUCCGGUGAAGCCUCCGGAUUGGCGCGCACCUCGGUGCCGCCGAGAAGUUGGCUAAACCUUACCAUUUAGAGGAAGGUGAAGUCGUAACA